rnacentral:rRNA from 1 species
CCGACUAAGCCAUGCGAGUCGAAUGUAGCAAUACAUGGCGUACUGCUCAGUAACACGUGGACAAUCUACCCUUGGGUCGGGGAUAAACCCGGGAAACUGGGUAUAAUACCCGCUAGAUCUGGGCUGCUGGAAUGCCUCCAGAUCGAAAGCUCCGGCGCCCAAGGAUGAGUCUGCGGCCUAUCAGGUAGUAGUGGGUGUAACGUACCUACUAGCCUACGACGGGUACGGGUUGUGAGAGCAAGAGCCCGGAGAUGGAUUCUGAGACACGAAUCCAGGCCCUACGGGGUGCAGCAGGCGCGAAAACUUUACAGGCGCGAAAACUUUACAAUGCUGGAAACAGCGAUAAGGGGACCUCGAGUGGUGUCCGCAUAAUCUGGCUGUCGUGAUGCCUAAAAAGCAUGCAAGACCGGUGACAGCCGCAGACCGGUGCCAGCGGCGGCGGUAUCACCGGCGUCUCCAGUCGAAACCGUUAUUAUUGGGACUAAAGGGUGUGUAGCCGCGAAUA